rnacentral:tmRNA from 1 species
ACUUAUUGGACCCGGGGGCGGUACCCGGCGCCUCCACCAAAAUAUAAAAAAUUAUAUUUUGGUGGGGGCGAAAUAGGAUCGACAAGAGCGUAAAGAUUGCUCUUUUACUCGGCAUAGUACCACCGUUAUCGGACUAAAUGAGUAGUUGCAAAUGACAACUAUGCGGAAGCACGUCUCGCCGCUUAAGGUGGUGUGAAUGUUUCAAAUUAAGUCUUAAACCGUCGCAGGUUUAAGCGGGGUUCGAAGG